UUAGCAUGGAAUAAUAAAAUAGGACGUGCGGUUCUAUUUUGUUGGUUUCUAGGACCGCCGUAAUGAUUAAUAGGGACAGUCGGGGGCAUCAGUAUUCAAUUGUCAGAGGUGAAAUUCUUGGAUUUAUUGAAGACUAACUACUGCGAAAGCAUUUGCCAAGGAUGUUUUCAUUAAUCAGGAACGAAAGUUAGGGGAUCGAAGACGAUCAGAUACCGUCGUAGUCUUAACCAUAAACUAUGCCGACUAGGGAUCGGACGGUGUUAUUCUUUGACCCGUUCGGCACCUUACGAGAAAUCAAAGUGCUUGGGCUCCAGGGGGAGUAUGGUCGCAAGGCUGAAACUUAAAGAAAUUGACGGAAGGGCACCACCAGGGGUGGAGCCUGCGGCUUAAUUUGACUCAACACGGGGAAACUCACCAGGUCCAGACAAAAUAAGGAUUGACAGAUUGAGAGCUCUUUCUUGAUCUUUUGGAUGGUGGUGCAUGGCCGUUCUUAGUUGGUGGAGUGAUUUGUCUGCUUAAUUGCGAUAACGAACGAGACCUCGGCCCUUACAUAGCCCGGUCCGCGUUUGCGGGCCGCUGGCUUCUUAGGGGGACUAUCGGCUCAAGCCGAUGGAAGUACGUGGCAAUAACAGGUCUGUGAUGCCCCUAGAUGUUCUGGGCCGCACGCGCGCUACACUGACAGGGCCAGCGAGUACAUCACCUUGGCCGAGAGGUCUGGGUAAUCUUGUUAAACCCUGUCGUGCUGGGGAUAGAGCAUUGCAAU
rnacentral:rRNA from 1 species